GGCCGUCUAGCUCAGUUGGUUAGAGCGUCGUGCUAAUAGUUGCUCGAGCAUUAACUGCUCAUGUAAUAAUCACGCGAAGGUCUUGGGUUCGACCCCCACGAUGGCCA